rnacentral:lncRNA from 1 species
AGGGAAGGGAACCCCUAAGCCACUUUGGGGGCCACGUCCACCACUUCUCUGCCCCUGACCCAGGCUGGUUCCUAGCCCUUAGGGUCCUACUGCGGACCUCCCGGCCAUAAUUAACGCAGGUGCAGGACCAGAGAGCCCCUUGGUCCCUCCCAACACGUGAGGGAACUUUGUGUUGUGAGGUCAGAUUAACUCGAAGUACCCCACAGCUACACGCUAAUGAAACUAGAGGAGGCACAGCCUCAGCUCCAUGCAGGAUGGAUGCACAAGAGCAGAAUCUCCAUGGGAUGCCUUUCUGGAGCAUCAGGAUUACUGCAGGAUUUGGAAGCAACAAGUUCAAAUAAUUUUCAACGUUAACACACUGGAAAUUUAAGAGAAGUCUGGAAAGUCAUCUACCUUUAAAAACUGUCAGUCAUCUGUGCCUAAGUCAGACUUUCUCCAAGAAAAAAAAAAAAAACUCUAAGGAGAACCUAUUUUUCAUUCUUCUAAGUAGUUAAAAUUUGAAAUCACAGCAAGUCAAUAGGAAGCUCUCCUCUGCCAGUCUCCUAAAUCACAAUAUGGCCUUGGUCAAAGCUACCUAGAUGUCCUCAUACAAAUUACAAGCUAUGAUGUCCACCUCAUUCUCUUUCUGGAAGGCUGACCUUAACUGUCCUGCACAUUCCUGACAGAGCAUAUUUGCCCUUUUCCUAU